AGUGGGAUAGCUGGGUCAAAUGAUGGUUCUAUUCCAUGUUUUAUGAGGAAUCUCCAGACUGCUUUACAUACUGGUUGCACCAAUUUGCAGUCCCACCAGCAAU
rnacentral:pre_miRNA from 1 species